rnacentral:rRNA from 1 species
UGGGGAAUAUUGGACAAUGAGCGAAAGCCUGAUCCAGCCAUGCCGCGUGUGUGAAGAAGGUCUUCGGAUUGUAAAGCACUUUAAGUUGGGAGGAAGGGCAGUAAGUUAAUACCUUGCUGCUUUGACGUUACCGACAGAAUAAGCACCGGCUAACUCUGUGCCAGCAGCCGCGGUAAUACAGAGGGUGCAAGCGUUAAUCGGAAUUACUGGGCGUAAAGCGCGCGUAGGUGGUUUGUUAAGUUGGAUGUGAAAGCCCCGGGCUCAACCUGGGAACUGCAUCCAAAACUGGCAAGCUAGAGUACGGUAGAGGGUGGUGGAAUUUCCUGUGUAGCGGUGAAAUGCGUAGAUAUAGGAAGGAACACCAGUGGCGAAGGCGACCACCUGGACUGAUACUGACACUGAGGUGCGAAAGCGUGGGGAGCAAACA